rnacentral:rRNA from 1 species
AAUCAACGCUGGCGGCGUGCCUAACACAUGCAAGUCGAACGCGAAAGGGGCUUCGGCCCUGAGUAGAGUGGCGUCCGGGUGAGUAACGCGUGGGUAAUCUGCCUUCGGGUGGGAAGUAACCAGUCGAAAGAUUGGCUAAUACCGCAUAAAGCAACUGUUUCUAUGAAGUGGUUGUUAAAGGAGCAAUCCGCCUGAAGAGGAGCCUGCGUCUGAUUAGCUAGUUGGCGGGGUAACGGCCCACCAAGGCUACGAUCAGUAGCUGGUCUGAGAGGACGGCCGA